CCUUCUCAGGAGUCUGGGGGUGCUGCUGACCAUCAGCUGCAGGGGAAAUUCCUAAAAUCUUACAUCACUCCAGCUGAAGAAAAUCUGCUUUGGACUUCAAUUUCCCUGGCUUUUUGACCUCAAUUUCCCUGGCUUUUUGACUUUAUAUUCCCCUGCAUUUUUGACCUUAUUCCUCUGCAUUUUUACCCUUAUUUCUCCUGGAUUUUUGCCCUUAUUCCCCUGCAUUUUUGACCUUAUUUCCCCUGGACUUUUGCCCUUAUUUCCCUGCAUUUUUGACCAUAUUUCCCCUGCGUUUUUACCCUUAUUUCCCCUGGACUUUUGCCCUUAUUUCUCUGCAUUUUUGACCAUAUUUCCCCUGGACUUUUGCCCUUAUUUCCCUGCAUUUUUGCCCUUAUUUCCCCUGGACUUUUUCCCUUAUUUCCCUGCAUUUUUGACCAUAUUUCCCCUGGACUUUUCCCCUUAUUCCCCCGCCUUUUCCCCCUCGUUCCCCUGCAUUUCUGACCUUCCCCCUCCACAUCUCCACGCUCCAUUUCCCCUCUCAGGUUCCUCCAGGAUCCCACCAGC
rnacentral:lncRNA from 1 species